CUCCAUGGUUUCUGUCUCCUCUUAGAGGGCUGUGGAAGUUUGAUCUCUGUUUUUGUCUCCGGUACGGCAGGAUCUUUUUUGUUCUUGGAUGCUGGCCUUGUUUGAGUCCUUAAGGCUGGGUCCACGCUGGGUUUUCUCCGAAAGAAACUUUUCUCUGCAUCCCUGACUGUUGUACUGGUGUUGUCAGUGAGCACAAGCCCGAAUGGCAUGCAGAUUGUUUUCAUUUGCACCGAAGACAGUCUUCGGCUCUACAAAUAAGAAAGCAUCUUUGAACACAUCCUUUCUCUACUGAGCUGAGUACUCCUGGUUUCCAGCUCUGCGGUGCACAUAGGCACUCAGCCAGCAAGAUCAGAGUGGGACUUACAAGGUGCCUGACUUUGCAUCUUUAACAACAUGGAGAGGAUGUUAUUGCUGCUCCUCUCUCCGCUAGACCUUGCCAAGUUAGAAGAAAAGUUAAAUUUCUUUAAUAAGCGCGGAGGUAGUAACAUUUGGGAGGGAACUUUUGUAGCAACUUUGCAACACAAUAUUCUUUUAAAGUAAACCUCUUCUGCUUGUUUUGAGAGUUCAGCUCCAGACACCCACCCCCUUCUGCU